rnacentral:lncRNA from 1 species
GUUGACCCUCUUUCGAAAUCUACACCCAAUCUUCAUGUUAGAUAUGCAGCUUCGAGAAUAUUCCACUUUUUGGGCUUCGUACAUAUUCUUCAGGCUAGAACAUGUUGUAACGACCCUUCAAUUAGACUUUUGUUUUCUAAAUUGCGAUCCGCGGGCUGGAUCCUCUUGUAGGUUGAUUUUCUGUUGAAUUGUCAAUCUAUCCCUCUGGCUGGCUUGCUGGGGAAAUAACGCUUGUAGGCGACUCUCUGGUUGAAUCUU